ACCAUCAUAGCUCAGUUGCAGAGAUCUGGUCUUGUAAACCAGGGGUUAAGAGUUAGAUCCUCACUGGUGGCU